GGCCCCAUAGCUCAGGGGAUAGAGCACCGCUCUCCUAAAGCGGGUGCCGUUGGUUCGAAUCCAACUGGGGCCGCCA
rnacentral:tRNA from 1 species